rnacentral:rRNA from 1 species
ACGCUCGACACCUACGGGAGCCAGCAGUGAGGAAUAUUGGUCAAUGGGCGCUAGCCUGAACCAGCCAAGUAGCGUGAAGGAUGAAGGCUCUAUGGGUCGUAAACUUCUUUUAUAUAAGAAUAAAGUGCAGUAUGUAUACUGUUUUGUAUGUAUUAUAUGAAUAAGGAUCGGCUAACUCCGUGCUAGCAGCCGCGGUAAUCUGAGCGGGCUGGCAAGGC